rnacentral:tRNA from 1 species
UUUCUGAUGGUCCAGUGGCUAAGGCUCUAUGUUCCCAAUGUAGGAGGCCCAGGUUCAAGCCCUGGGCAGGAAA